rnacentral:rRNA from 1 species
AAUGAACGUUGGCGGCGUGGAUUAGGCAUGCAAGUCGCGCGAGAAGCUUUAGCUUGCUAUGGCGGACAGCGGCGAAAGGGAGAGUAACGCGUGGUUACGUACCCUCGAGACCGGGAUAGUAGCGGGAAACUGCUAGUAAUACCGGAUAACAUCUUCGGAUCAAAUGGUGUGAUUCCGCUCGAGGAUCGGACCGCGUACUAUUAGCUAGUUGGCGGGGUAAUGGCCCACCAAGGCUGCGAUGGUUACCGGGUGUGAGAGCAUGGCCCGGCUCACUGGGACUGAGACACUGCCCAGACAUCUACGGAUGGCUGCAGUCGAGAAUCUUCGGCAAUGGACGAAAGUCUGACCGAGCGACGCCGCGUGCGGGAUGAAGGCCCUCGGGUUGUAAACCGCUGUCAGUUAGGAGGAAAUCUGUGAGGGUUCUCUCUCAUGGUUGACCGAUUUUCAGAGGAAGGACGGGCUAAGUUCGUGCCAGCAGCCGCGGUAACAC